GUUUAAUUCGAAGAUACACGAAGUAACCUUACCAGGUCUUGACAUACCAUUGACAGGUCUAGAGAUAGACUCUCCGUUCGGGCAAUGGAUACAGGUGGUGCAUGGUUGUCGUCAGCUCGUGCCGUGAGGUGUUGGGUUAAGUCCCGCAACGAGCGCAACCCUCAUUGUUAGUUACUACCAUUCAGUUGAGGACUCUAAUGAGACUGCCAACGACAAGUUGGAGGAAGGUGGGGAUGACGUCAAAUCAUCAUGCCCUUUAUGACCUGGGCUACAAACGUACUACAAUGGCCAAUACAAAGAGAUGCGAAGCGGUGACGUGGAGCGAACCUCAGAAAGUUGGUCUCAGUUCAGAUUGAAGUCUGCAACUCGACUUCAUGAAGGCGGAAUCGCUAGUAAUCGCGGGUCAGCAGACCGCGGUGAAUACGUUCCCGGGUUUU
rnacentral:rRNA from 1 species